AACGACUCUCGGCAACGGAUAUCUCGGCUCUCGCAUCGAUGAAGAACGUAGCGAAAUGCGAUACUUGGUGUGAAUUGCAGAAUCCCGUGAACCAUCGAGUCUUUGAACGCAAGUUGCGCCCCAAGCCGUUAGGCCGAGGGCACGUCUGCCUGGGUGUCACGCAU
rnacentral:rRNA from 1 species